CAUCAGAGGAGCAUGGAAUUUCCAGCGUACCGGUAAAGGCCGCAGAUAUCGGAAGGUACACCAGUGGCGAAGCCGGUGCUCUGGGGUGGGCCUGACGCUGAGAGACGAAAGGUAGGGGAGCGAACAGGAUUAGAGACCCUGGUAGUCCUAGCCCUAAACGAUGGAUGCUAGGUGUGGGGCCGAGAAGGCUCUGUGCCGCAGUUAACGCGCUAAGCAUCCCGCCUGGGGAUUACGGCCGCAAGGCUAAAACUCAAACGAAUUGACGGGGCCCCGCACAAGCAGCGGAGCGUGUGGUUUAAUUCGAUGCUACACGAAGAACCUUACCUGGGUUUGACAUGUACGUGGUAGAGAAGCGAAAGCGGAUCGACCAUUCGGGGAGCGUACACAGGUGCUGCAUGGCUGUCGUCAGCUCGUGCCGUGAGGUGUCGGGUUAAGUCCCGUAACGAGCGCAACCAUUGCCCUUAGUUACAAGUGUCUAAGGGGACUGCCGGCGGUAAGCCGGAGGAAGGUGGGGAUGACGUCAAGUCAGCAUGGCCCUUAUAUCCAGGGCUACACACACGCUACAAUGGUCAGUACAAAGGGCAGCGAAGCCGCGAGGUGAAGCGAAUCCCAACAAAGCUGAUCUAAGUUCGGAUUGCAGGCUGCAACUCGCAUGCAUGAAGCUGGAGUUGCUAGUAACCGCGCGUCAGCUAUAGUGCGGUGAUACGUUCCCGGGGCUGUACACACCGCCCGUCACGUCAUGGGA
rnacentral:rRNA from 1 species